UCAGGAAGUCAUCUUUGAUACUCCCAUGAUACUUACCAUCUGGACUGUUUAGAUGGUACUUGGCACUCACGGCUUGCUCUGUAGGUUUUUGUGUUCUAAACCCACAGUUGGUCUUCUGGGGUCCUGGAGGGGAGGGCAAAGACCAUGCUACUCUUCUUCAAAUCUCCCACUCUCCGCCCCCACUCCCCCCGCAACAAUACACCAUUCUUAGUAGGUAGUCAAUAAAUACUGACUGAUUGGGUCAAAAGGCCUCAGAAAGUUUAUUAUUAUAUUAUGACAGGAGGAUAUGUGCUUCUUCAAAAGCAUUUUUUGAGAGCCUACUAUAUCACAGGCAUUGUGCUGGGUGCUGACAACCCAUGUGAUCCAGGAGCAAGGAUUUAGAAAAUCAAACGUAAGCCUUUUGGACACUCUGCAGCAGGACGCUGGGAACUACUGGACAGGAUUAAAUGAGGCGUUCUGAGUGUCUGCGGUGUUCUGACGAUUUCUAGAUAUUCCACAUCGGUGUCUCUGUACCACGCAUGUAAGGAUUGAUGGGAGUAGAAUCCAUUUCCGUUCCAUUUGUAAAUGGUGGUGAACCCGGCUUUUGAACUGUCAGCAACGACAAAGUACCAGUUGUUUUCGAUCUUGAAUGUUUCAAUGUCAUUGGGUUUUCGGAUUUUGAGAAUUUCAAUAUCCUGGAUUUUUAUGAAUUUGUUUGCAAAACUGUCCCGCUUAUAGAUGUGAGAGCCACCAAACAGCUGGGCCACAAUAACGUAGAGCUGAGUUUCAAUGACUAUAGGCUUGCACACUACUGUGGAUGUGCCUGGGAAGAGACAAAUGAGAGAUUAGUUGUGUGGCCAUCCUCUUUCGGAACAUGUAAACAUGCAGGCAGGGUCCAUACCACUUCCACACAAGUCAGCUUGAAACAAGAGAUUUCCUUGGCUGAUUAGGCAAGGCCGAUCUCCAAGGCCCAAUGGCAGGAGUGUCCUGAAAUUCUGUCUUUGUACAUGUUGGAGCCUUGUUACCAACAAUUGAGUCAUCAUGUCACAUCCAGAUGUUCAGGCUACAUGGCUGAGUUUUCUCCUCUCACUUCUUGCAGAAAGAAAGCAUUGCUUGCCCUAACAUCAUGAGUUAGUCAUAGUAGUUCUAACAAAAAAUAUCAUUUAUUGAGCACCUACUCUGUGCUUUGUCAAACCACCCCAUUAAAUUUUCCCAUUAUCUUAAGAGAGAGAUAUCAUUAUUCUCCCUUGUCCCGAUAAAUAAACCAAAGCUUAGAGAGGCCAAGUUCUGCUAGCAGAAGGCAGAGUUGGGAUUCAAACCCAGGCUUACCAGCAUCUCUAGGUUUUAAACCCGAGCUGGGGAGAGAUUAGCUGUUCCAGGGCUUCCAACUUCCUACAACAUUCUAGAACCAUCCAAUGAAGUCCAGAGCUGUGAUCUGGGCAGCCCACCACUCUACCUGUAAUUGUUUUGCUCUAACUGUGAACUGCUUUUUCCUCUAGAAUAACCUGAUUGUCCCCUGAUGAAGGAAGGAGAACCACCUGUCACUCUUCUGGAGCUUUAGGUCACUGGUGAAAGGACAGAAAAGAAGGAAGAGGAAUCCUGGAGAAAACUGAAAGAGUGGUACAGCCGUGGGUGAUGCUCUCAGAAAAUGAUACAGGAUCUGUCAGUUGCCUAGCUUGGUAACCUUUUGCCCUGAGCACAGUUCCUGGCUGAAUAAUGUUGGUUGAACUAGAUUUCAAGGACUAAAACCUUUGGCUAGAACUACAACUGCGUGCAAAAAGAUGGAUGAAUAUUCAAGGGGAAGAGGCGAGAAUACAGUAAAGUACACCCUAUAUUACUGCACUUACAUAAAGUACAAAAACUAAUCUAUGCUGGUAGAAGUCAGGAUAGUGGUUGCUCUUGGGGGCAAGUAGGAAUUGGAAGAGAGCACAAGGGUGUCUUUGGGGUAAUGACAAUGUUUGGCUUCUUGACCUGGGAGCUGGUCACAAAGGUGUUCACUUCGUAAAAAGUCAUUGAGAUUUACACUUACAUUACACUUUCAUUUAUGUAUAUUAUACUUCAAUUUAAAAGUUUCUUACAAAAGCUAAAAAAAACCCUCGGGCUAAGAUCAUAAUGAAUACCAUAAUCUCUCAAUGCUAAAUUCAAUUGUAGUUUCUAUGGAAAAGGAUGUGUAAAAUUAUACAUACUUUCUAAAUGUAUAUGGGCUAUCCAUUUUCUUACCCUAUGUAUACUUAAAAAAGACUCUUAUAUUAUGUUCUAUAAGGAGGGUGAAACUCUGACCCGUAAUUUUUUAUGAAUUCCUCUAAAUAUGUUUGAUUUCAAUAUUAUGAUUUGUUAUUGAACCAGAUACGUUAAUGUAUCUCACAGUCCUUGUUAAGGGCAACUGUGCCCACCCCACACCAUCUUGACACACAACAGACCUGGGUAGAAAACAGUCACGUUUUCUCCUACACAACCUUUGUCCCUUUCCACUAAUUAUUAGGGCAAGAAAGACUCGGUUCCUCCCCCAGAGCAGCCAAUCUCUAGGUCAGGUAGCAGCCCACGGCCCAAGUUGGUUCAAAAAAGUGAGUUGAGCUAAGGUGAGACCCUUCUUGGGGAUUUGGAAUUGGCAAACUGGGAGAUGGAACCUGCCAGCAGAGGAGUUGAAGGGAAAAGGAGGCCUUGGGGUGAGUUGGGUCCAUGGCAGACAAACAUGUAUGCAAGGAAUACUCAGGAGGAUGCGGAAUGUGGAGGAGAUCCAACCAAGGGAAGUGGUUUGAGGCUGGCUCAGGGGAGACGCCUAGAUCUGUGUUAGAGUUUGGGCCCGUGCUUCUCAAUCUUGGUUGCACUCAGAGUCACCUAGGGAGCUGAUACCUGGUUCCCACCCUCAGAGAUUAUGGCUAAAUUCUACACCUGAGGUGUCACCUGGGAAAUUUAAAAGUUCCCCGAGUAACUCUUCUAUGCAGCCAGAGCUGCACAUGCUAAGCUUUCUGGGUCAGUCAAAACACCCACCCCUUUCCCUGUGGUGACCGAGGGGCCUCUGUCCUUGCAGCUAGUCUGACUGGAGCAGUGGCUGCAGGACAUGGAGGAGCUGUGGGUUUUCCUGUCCCCAUAACUACAUGUAGUGAGGGUCUGCAAUAAUAUGAGUGGGAAGUGACAAGCAUCCUGACAACAGCAGCAUCAUGGAGGGGUUUGUGGGGACCAAUGUCCCAUCUAAAC